CCACCCCCUCACGCAUCCCCGCAUCCCUUGACACCCUGCGUGUUCCUGGCAAAGGGAGGCAUCCCGAGGCCACACUGUAAGAGGACAGUCCCCUUCGGGGAUGUGUGUGGAAGCCCAAAACUUCACAGCUCUGUCCAGAGAGCAGGGUCAGGCCCUUGCUCACUCAGGGCAGGGGUGCUGCCCGGCCAUUUCCAGCCCCCAGGCCCUGCGGGGCUCCACCAGCCUUUCCCUAGAGCAGGAAAAGACGCGGGAAGUGUGGAUGCGAAACUGAAAGCUCUGGCCAAGUCGGGGCAGGCCUGGAGCCGGCUGCCCUCACAUCUCCAGCCUUCUGAAGGCUGGGCUUGGGCAUGCCCAGCACCAGGAUGGGUCCCCGCUGGACUCCCUCCCCUCACGCUUCCCAGGUACCUCCUGGGCCCCCGGCUCCCAGACGGACACAGGACCGUCCAAGCCUUGUGUGGGGGGCACUGCGACUCAUGGGCGUGGCCGGCCAGGGCCCCGCAGAGUGGACCGAGGCUGUGCCGUCCCUCCCGUGGCUGGCCCUGAAGGAGCAUAGGGGUGCUGGCCUUGGAACCCACGGGGGGUUGGAGGGAAGAAGCCAGGUCCCCUGCAGUCUUCCCAACUAGGAGAGCCUGAGCGUGCUGUUGUGUACCCGAGUCUGUAUCUGUGGCAACAGCUUCCCUCCGGGGCUCUUGUGGGGCUGGGGUGAGUCACACACCGUACCCAGUGGGCAUGUGAGUCUCCCUGCCCCACCUGCUCUAGAUAUGGGGCCCUCCUCACCUCUGCCCACCCACUGCCCAGACGGCCGGACGGACCCCCUCCCGAGCUGCCUCUGCCGCCUACCAUUUCCUAGACAGGUUACAUCGAAGGGCCGGGUGGAGGUGGGUGGUUCAUGAAUCCCCCAAGCACCAGCACCUGCUGUGCCCGCCCCCAGCCCAUCUUCACCACCCCUCCGCUCCUCCUACAGUCGAGCUGGGACCUGGGCUCUCCUCCCUCACCCCUGGGCUUGGGGCUGAAGCUUGGUGCUGGGACAGCACAGGGCGACCCCAGGGCUCUGUCCGGAGCAGAGGGAAGGCACUGGGUGUGGUCUGGAGACCUGCCUUUCAUUCCACCCGCCAACUCCGGGGCCAUCACAGUCUCUGGAAGUUUCUGUUUCCCCAUCAGCCACGUGGAAAUCCCAGCUCUUAACGCCUCCCCCCGCCCCCCCCGGCCGAGAGUGGAGAGAGGAGCUGUGUAAACUGUAAAGUGCUGUGCCAGCAGGAAGCAGGGCUCCUCUCUGAGGCAGCCCCGAAGCUACUGCCUCUCCUCCAGGCUGGCGCCCGCCACCUUCCCCUCCUGCACUCAGCUGCCUUCCCUGUGGACUUGCUCAUCCUCCAGCCACGUGAGCGGAUGGGGAAGGUGAGGCAGGCGUGAUGAUGACCCGAGUGCAGGACGCAGCCUCUGCACAGCGCCAGCCUCAUGGGGAGUGUCCCCCCCUCAAGAGACCCAGACAUCAGCGGCAGGAGGGGCAGGGCGUAGGAGCUGAGGAGUCCCCGGCUGUGGUGGUGACAUCAGUGCCCCACGUGGGGUGGCCAGGGUGCCUCGAGGACUGGAGGUCGGGACAGCCACCCCGACAGGCUCUCAUGGAUGCCUGCCCUUGGCGGCCUGGGGGAUUAUUACUUAUUGUUUUUAAAGUGCCCUGUUGUUAUUUUCUGAUUACCAAAGCGAUACACGCUCAUGAUAAAGACCUUUAAGCACCGAG